GGCUCAAAUUCUUCUAUUGGGUUAGCUUCAGUACUAACUUCUUUUUCUAAAUUUUCAUUUUGACUAGCAUCAGUACUAGCCUCUCUCACCUAGUCUGAAUAUGGAUCCUUAAGAAUCCUAUUACUUCUAAGCUCAAAGAUUACUUUGUCAUUUUCAAAUUGAGGAUUCUUAGGUUGGACAUUGGAUUGUUGACUAGGUC
rnacentral:lncRNA from 1 species